AGUGAAAUGGCUGAAUAUUAGGCGAUAAAUUGUAAAUUUAUUUAUGAAAAAUUUUUCUUUCACUA
rnacentral:tRNA from 1 species